rnacentral:rRNA from 1 species
AUGGAGGAAGUUGCCAAGUGCACUCUGCAACAGAUGAAGCCUAUGAAGUGUGUUACUUUUGAAGGUGCUAACACUGGGAGGAGGUUCUAUGGAUGCCUUGUUCAUGGAGGUGUGAGUUGUGGUGUAGUUCAGUGGGUUGAUCAUGUCUGGUCUGAUGUACUUAAGAACUGCCUCAUCAAGUUGUGGGAAAUGUUCCAUGAGCAAAACUUUGGAAGGAUUCAAGACAAGCAUUCAUAUGAGGAUGAAGUUGCCAAGUUGAAAAAGGAGUAUGAUCAUCUCUGCACUGAGUAUCAUAAAAUGGUUGAUGAUGUUAGCAAGAUGUUUGACUGGCAGGAUGGUGUUGGCAAGAUUGACUACCAGAAAGCAAUGGAUGUUGAGAAAUAUGAGAAGAAGAAGUAA